CCUACGGGGUGCAGCAGUGGGGAAUAUUGCACAAUGGGGGAAACCCUGAUGCAGCGACGCCGCGUGAAGGAAGACGUAUUUCGGUAUGUAAACUUCUAUCAGCAGGGAAGAAAAUGACGGUACCUGUCUAAGAAGCCCCGUCUAACUACGUGCCAGCUGCCGUGGUAAUACGUAGGGGGCAAGCGUUAUCCGGAUUUACUGGGUGUAAAGGGAGCGUAGGCGGUUUAGCAAGUCAGAAGUGAAAGCCCGGGGCUCAACUCCGGGAUUGCUUUUGAAACUGUUGAACUAGAGUGCAGGAGAGGUAGGUGGAAUUCGUAUUGUAGCGGUGAAAUGCGUAGAUAUUAGGAGGAACACCAGUGGCGAAGGCAGCUUACUGGACUGUAAAUGACGCUGAGGCACGAAAGCGUGGGGAGCGAACAGGAUUAGAUACCCUAGUAGUC
rnacentral:rRNA from 1 species